rnacentral:misc_RNA from 1 species
GAACAAACCAAUCCUGAUUCCGGAGAGGAGAGGAAGACCCACAGAGAGGCGACCGGAGUAGACGGGGGAUUCGGCGGAGCCGCGAGGAAAGAAUCCCUUUCCCUUGCGGUGAAGAAGGACGGUUUCGAUCUUUUAUACGUUAACUUUACUAAGCUUUCGACAAGAAACUGCGAUUUAGACUGCCCUUUCUCCCGUCACCACUCAGUCAAAUCACGAAUUGAUGGGGGCUUUGUUAUAAUUGAAGGGAUUUGGAAUAUAUUUGGUCUGCAGGCUCAGCUUCAUUGUUCCUGUGGAUGUAUCUUGUCGUCAUUCAAGAAGAAGAUCGGCUUGUGAAUUUGCCCAAAUCCUUUCUGGGUAUUCUCAGGCCGCCUUGUCUGUCUGUUGAGAGAAA